UAAUGAGGGUCUGCAGCAGGGACGUGCACACAUAGGAGUGAAAGGGGGCUGGAGCCCCUGCCCUUUUCCUCACCUGCCCCUCUAGUGCCCUCACAAAAGGAGGUGCAGACUCAGGCUGACAAGUGAAGUAAAAAGGAUCCAUUGCUGGAGAUUUGUAUGUGGUUUAAUGGAGGGUGCUGUGCCCUCCCUGCAGCAAGGGGGCGCCACUCACCCUGUCAUUAUCUGCCAUUUCUUUGCUUCUCUCCACACGGAGGAGACAGGAGCAGAGGAGGCAGAGGGAGGCCCCGCCCACAACAUGUCCGGCCACAAACCAGUCUAAGCAGCCCUUACUAGGAUCAGAAUGCGUUGGCAUAGUGAGGAGACGUCUGGGCAUCAAGUUCUGCAGAGAGAAGAUUUAGCUGGAACAAAUCCUGGCGUGAGGGGCCGGUGCUGGACACUGUGUAGGGACGCGGGAAUGCAAAGUCAUACACAUGACUGUGACUGAUGCACUAUCUCCAGGACAUGGAGUAGCAUUUCCGGACCUACAGCAAGACGUUGGAUGAAGGCAUAGCCCCAGAAAUAACACUGGUCCUGUUCAUCAGUGAGGGGCCGGUGCUGGACACUGUGUAGGGACACGGGAAUGCAAAGUCAUGCACAUGACUGUGACUGAUGCACUAUUUCCAGGACAUGGAGUAGCAUUUUGGGACCUACAGCAAGACGUUGGAUGAAGGCACAGGCCUAGGAAUCAUGCACAUACACAGAAACAUUUGCCCAAAUUAUAGAGGUAACCUCCUUUAGUAUGCCCAGAGGAAGGGCCAUACAGUAGCCAUGGAUUCCCUACAGGUUUCCUCCCCUCUGGAGGUUUUUCCUGUCCUGAGUAUUAGUUACUGUACGCUCUUUGUGAGUGAUGGGAGGUUACAAAAAGUCCCCUACACAAACAUUUUAAUAAAUAAUAAAUAAAGUUCCCCUUUUUUAAAACUG